rnacentral:rRNA from 1 species
UUUGCGUCGAAGGUAUACCGGUAAGGAGUGCUGGAGCGAAUAGAAGUGAGCAUGCAGGCAUGAGUAGCGAUAAUUAAUGUGAGAAUCAUUAACGCCGUAAACCCAAGGUUUCCUACGCGAUGCUCGUCAUCGUAGGGUUAGUCGGGUCCUAAGUCGAGUCCGAAAGGGGUAGACGAUGGCAAAUUGGUUAAUAUUCCAAUACCAACAUUAGUGUGCGAUGGAAGGACGCUUAGGGCUAAGGGGGCUAGCGGAUGGAAGUGCUAGUCUAAGGUCGUAGGAGGUUAUACAGGCAAAUCCGUAUAACAAUACUCCGAGAACUGAAAGGCUUUUUGAAGUCUUCGGAUGGAUAGAAGAACCCCUGAUGCCGUCGAGCCAAGAAAAGUUUCUAAGUUUAGCUAAUGUUGCCCGUACCGUAAACCGACACAGGUGGGUGGGAUGAGUAUUCUAAGGCGCGUGGAAGAACUCUCUUUAAGGAACUCUGCAAAAUAGCACCGUAUCUUCGGUAUAAGGUGUGGUUAGCUUUGUAUUAGGAUUUACUCCGAAAGCAAGGAAACUUACAACAAAGAGUCCCUCCCGACUGUUUACCAAAAACACAGCACUCUGCUAACUCGUAAGAGGAUGUAUAGGGUGUGACGCCUGCCCGGUGCUCGAAGGUUAAUUGAUGGGGUUAGCAUUAGCGAAGCUCUUGAUCGAAGCCCGAGUAAACGGCGGCCGUAACUAUAACGGUCCUAAGGUAGCGAAAUUCCUUGUCGGUUAAAUACCGACCUGCAUGAAUGGCGUAACGAGAUGGGAGCUGUCUCAAAGAGGGAUCCAGUGAAAUUGUAGUGGAGGUGAAAAUUCCUCCUACCCGCGGCAAGACGGAGAGACCCCGUGGACCUUUACUACAGCUUGACACUGCUACUUGGAUAAGAAUGUGCAGGAUAGGUGGGAGGCUUUGAGUAUAUGACGCCAGUUGUAUAUGAGCCAUUGUUGAGAUACCACUCUUUCUUAUUUGGGUAGCUAACCAGCUUGAGUUAUCCUCAAGUGGGACAAUGUCUGGUGGGUAGUUUGACUGGGGCGGUCGCCUCCCAAAUAAUAACGGAGGCUUACAAAGGUUGGCUCAGAACGGUUGGAAAUCGUUCGUAGAGUAUAAAGGUAUAAGCCAGCUUAACUGCAAGACAUACAAGUCAAGCAGAGACGAAAGUCGGUCUUAGUGAUCCGGUGGUUCUGUGUGGAAGGGCCAUCGCUCAAAGGAUAAAAGGUACCCCGGGGAUAACAGGCUGAUCUCCCCCAAGAGCUCACAUCGACGGGGAGGUUUGGCACCUCGAUGUCGGCUCAUCGCAUCCUGGGGCUGGAGCAGGUCCCAAGGGUAUGGCUGUUCGCCAUUUAAAGCGGUACGCGAGCUGGGUUCAGAACGUCGUGAGACAGUUCGGUCCCUAUCUGCCGUGGGCGUAAGAAGAUUGAAGAGAUUUGACCCUAGUACGAGAGGACCGGGUUGAACAAACCACUGGUGUAGCUGUUGUUCUGCCAAGAGCAUCGCAGCGUAGCUAAGUUUGGAAAGGAUAAACGCUGAAAGCAUCUAAGCGUGAAGCCAACUCUAAGAUGAAUCUUCUCUAAGCUCUCUAGAAGACUACUAGUUUGAUAGGCUGGGUGUGUAAUGGAUGAAAGUCCUUUAGCUGACCAGUACUAAUAGAGCGUUUGGCUUAUCUUU